AGCGGCGGACGGGUGAGUAAUGCCUGGGAAUAUGCCCUGAUGUGGGGGAUAACUAUUGGAAACGAUAGCUAAUACCGCAUAAUCUCUUCGGAGCAAAGAGGGGGACCUUCGGGCCUCUCGCGUCAGGAUUAGCCCAGGUGGGAUUAGCUUGUUGGUGAGGUAAUGGCUCACCGAGGCAACGAUCCCUAGCUGGUCUGAGAGGAUGAUCAGCCACACUGGAACUGAGACACGGUCCAGACUCCUACGGGAGGCAGCAGUGGGGAAUAUUGCACAAUGGGGGAAACCCUGAUGCAGCCAUGCCGCGUGUGUGAAGAAGGCCUUCGGGUUGUAAAGCACUUUCAGUAGGGAGGAAGGUAGUGUAGUUAACACCUGCACUAUUUGACGUUACCUACAGAAGAAGCACCGGCUAACUCCGUGCCAGCAGCCGCGGUAAUACGGAGGGUGCGAGCGUUAAUCGGAAUUACUGGGCGUAAAGCGCAUGCAGGCGGCCUGUUAAGUCAGAUGUGAAAGCCCGGGGCUUAACCUCGGAAUUGCAUUUGAAACUGGCAGG
rnacentral:rRNA from 1 species